CUUAUGACAUCAGUACAAUUUUUACCUGACGGUGGAAUUCCCAUCACCAUUUCCAGAAUACCAACAUUCUUGGGAAGGUAUAUCUGAAGACAGACAAUAGUCAAGCAGUCAAAGACCCAUGAGAAUAGAUAAUGCAUGGCUUGAUCAGUGGAAGUGUUGAUGUUAAUAUUGAUUCAGUAUUCAAUAUUAAUUAAAUCUCUUCCUGCCCUAGGAUUUCCUUCUUUAAUUCAUUGCUUUUUGUUGUUGUUGCUGUUGUUACGUACACCUUUGUAUGGUUAUUCUUUCUUUAGGGCCCAUGGAGUGGUGCUUAACUCAUCCCAACCAUAGACAAACCUUCUGGAAAUCGUGCUAAUGCACAGCUGAAUAAGAAGAGAUCAGAGAUACCAAGGCCAUGGAUGGAGUUUUAGAGAAGUACUUUUCAGGGAUCACCAGUGCUCUGGUGCCAAGGUGGGUCAGAGAAAGAUGUGACAGUGGAAGAGGAGUUAGAGAGAUGGCAGCAUGAGAAACAUCCAACACGCUGUGGCUGGUUCUGAGAUGUAAGGGGCUAUGUGAAAAGACUGGAGAGAGGCCUUUACAAGCUGGGAUAGCCCUGAACUUACAGUCAGCAAGAAAACAGGGACCUCAAUCCUACAACCACAGGAGCAGGAAAUAAAUUCACCCACUAGAACUUCCAGAAAGGAACAGAGCCAGCCAACAUCUUGAUUUUUGUCCUGUGAUACCUGUACCUGACUACUGACCUAGAACCUGUAAGAUAAUAAAUCUGGAUG